rfam:Mustela putorius furo unplaced genomic scaffold scaffold00032, whole genome shotgun sequence.
AUCACUUCUCGGCCUUUUGGCUAAGAUCAAGUGUAGAAUCUGUUCUUAGCAGUUCAGAGAGUGGGGGAACGUGUAGUGUGCAGGCGAGCAAACUGCUGGCUGUAUAGAGCAUGGAAAGAAUGAAAACAGUUAUAUCUAAGUGUUUUAUUGUUUAGCGAUAUGCACAUUUGUGGGAAACUAUUUAAAAUAAAGAGAACAAUCCACACAAUAUUC